CAAUAGCGUAUAUUAAAGUUGUUGCAGUUAAAAGCUCGUAGUUGGAUCUCAGGUCCCGGCUCGCGGUUCACUUCGCGGUGCUUACUGCCCGUCCGGACCUACCCGCCGGUUUUCCCUUGGUGCUCUUCAUUGAGUGUCUCGGGUGGCCGGAACGUUUACUUUGAAAAAUUAGAGUGUUCAAAGCAGGCGCUUCGCCUGAAUAAUGGUGCAUGGAAUAAUGGAAUAGGACCUCGGUUCUAUUUUGUUGGUUUUCGGAACUCGAGGUAAUGAUUAAUAGGGAUAGUUGGGGGCAUUCGUAUUUAACUGUCAGAGGUGAAAUUCUUGGAUUUGUUAAAGACGGACUACUGCGAAAAGCAUUUGCCAAAGGAUGUUUUCAUUGAUCAAGAACGAAAGUUAGGGGAUCGAAGACGAUCAGAUACCA
rnacentral:rRNA from 1 species